rnacentral:rRNA from 1 species
UACGAAGGGGGCGAGCGUUGUUCGGAAUUACUGGGCGUAAAGGGCGCGUAGGCGGCCCCUUUUGUCGCGUGUGAAAGCCCCGGGCUCAACCUGGGAGGUGCGCGCGAAACGGGGGGGCUUGAGUUCGGGAGAGGAGCGUGGAAUUCCCAGUGUAGAGGUGAAAUUCGUAGAUAUUGGGAAGAACACCGGUGGCGAAGGCGGCGACCUGGUCCGUGACUGACGCUGAGGCGCGAAAGCGUGGGGAGCAAACAGG